rnacentral:tRNA from 1 species
AUUAGCUUGGCAGAUUAAUUGUAUCAAAUUUAGAAUUUGAGGAAGAGUAGUAUUCAGUUAGUA